CACGGGUGAGUAACACGUAUCCAACCUGCCGUCUACUCUUGGACAGCCUUCUGAAAGGAAAGAUUAAUACAAGAUGGCAUCAUGAGUCCGCAUGUUCACAUGAUUAAAGGUAUUCCGGUAGACGAUGGGGAUGCGUUCCAUUAGAUAGUAGGCGGGGUAACGGCCCACCUAGUCUUCGAUGGAUAGGGGUUCUGAGAGGAAGGUCCCCCACAUUGGAACUGAGACACGGUCCAAACUCCUACGGGAGGCAGCAUG
rnacentral:rRNA from 1 species